AGCAGAGUGGCGCAGUGGAAGCGUGCUGGGCCCAUAACCCAGAGGUCGUAGAUCGAAACUACCCUCUGCUA
rnacentral:tRNA from 1 species